rnacentral:misc_RNA from 1 species
GUGUCAUUGCGAAUGAUUUGACAAAUCUGUGUCUCGAAACUAACAUAUUUUUUCUAUCUGAAUUGUUGCAAUAGUUGCAUUCGACUAACUCAGCAUGAGGAUUGCAUAUAUUUCCAACUUACUCCUUUUUGGUAAGCAAUGUGCGAAAAUACAAAAUCGCAAUGUUCGUCUUGUGGCGACGGCUGCCCAGGUUAAACGACAGGAAGACGUUAAGCCGAAGACAGCGAUACUGAUGUUGAACAUGGGUGGCCCAAUUAAUAUCACCAAAGUGCCUGAAUACCUCUUACGUAUUAUGACCGAUCGUGACAUGAUUCAACUUCCAAUGCAAAGUCAAUUAGGACCAUGGAUUGCCAAAAGGCGAACAGCUGAUGUACAGAAAAAGUACGAGGAGAUCGGAGGUGGCUCACCUAUUUUAAAGUGGACUAACAAGCAAGGCGAAUUGUUGUGCAAACAGUUAGAUAAAAUUUCACCAGAAACGGCACCACACAAACACUACGUUGCUUUCCGAUACACCGAUCCUUUGACAGAAGAUGCUCUCAGAGAUGUAGAAGCGGACAACGUUGAACGUAUCGUUGUAUUCUCACAAUAUCCUCAGUAUAGCUGUGCGACGACAGGAUCGAGCUUUAAUGUCAUACAUAAUUAUUAUCAGAAAUGGCCAGUGCCACAAAAUAUGAAGUGGACUAUAAUUGACCGAUGGGCCACGCAUCCACUUCUUGUUGAGACUAUUGCAGAGCGAAUCAAAGCAGAAUUAAUUCAAUUUCCCAGCAAUAUAAGAGAUGAUGUGAUAAUUCUCUUCUCAGCGCAUUCCUUGCCAUUAAAGGCAGUGAACAGAGGUGACCCAUACCCAUCGGAAGUUGGUGCGACGGUGCAACUAGUCAUGGAAAAGUUGAAAUAUUGUAACCCCUACAGUUUAGUCUGGCAGUCGAAGGUAGGACCAUUACCUUGGCUUGAACCAUACACUGAUGAUGCUCUGAAAAAUUACGUCAAGCAGGGGAAGAAGAAUUUCAUUUUAGUUCCCGUUGCUUUCGUAAAUGAACACAUCGAAACCCUUCACGAGAUGGAUAUCGAAUACUGCCAUGACUUGGCAAAAGAACUCGGUAUUGAAAACAUCAGACGAGCAGCAGCACCGAACGAUCAUCCACUAUUCAUACAAGCGAUGGCAGACAUUGUAGUAUCUCGUCUAAGGUCGAACCAACCUGUAAAUCCAAAAUUCCUCACCCGAUGUCCACAUUGCGUUAACAAAAACUGUGCAAUUAGCAAAUCCUGGUAUGCGAAGAUUUGCAACAAAGUGUAACACCUUUCAUAACAAGUUAGGAGUGCGGCAUCUAUCUCCUAUUUAUAAUAAUCUUGCGAAGCAGCAAUCAACGUCAAUCAUUCUUAACAAUUAUGGGACGAAAAAGUGCCGUCAAGAGGGAUGACGAUAUAUUUUGCUGUGCCGAGUGGUCGGUCUAGAGGCACCUACUUUUUGAAGCAUCGUAACCUUUCCUUGUAUCAUAAUCCACAAUUUACCACUUCCGUCAAGGAGGAGCGUCAACUGUAAAUCAUGGAGAUGCGCAGAACUUAUCGUUACAGAUGGCGAGUCAGCUUGUGGUAUUACUUCGAGGUUAGUAUAAUGUACCUUCCGUGCAAUUUAUGAUAUAGGAAUAAACGCAGUUCAUUUUUACCA